UACGAGGGGUGCAAACGUUAUUCGGAUUUAUUGGGCGUAAAGGGUGUGUAGACGGUAUAUUAAGUCAAUUGUCAAAUUUCCCGGCCUAACCGGGAGCCGGCAGUAGAUACUGAUGUACUAGAGGGUGGAAGAGAGAAGUGGAAUUCUCGGAGUAGCGGUAAAAUGCGUAGAUCUCGAGAGGAACACCGAUGGCGAAGGCAGCUUCUUGGUCCACUCCUGACGUUGAAACACGAAAGCGUGGGGAGCAAACAGG
rnacentral:rRNA from 1 species